CUCCGAGGGAAAGGCUACUAUGCCCUACGCAGAGACCAUGGAGGGAGGACUGAGAAGCUUCAGGGAGAGACAGGGCGGAAACUGGAAAUCCCGCGCAGCCACAGGUCUUUUCCAAGGACUACAAAAAUCCCAAGUGGCAGAAAGAAAAAUGAUUCUCUGUGUUACAGCCAAGCCUGUUCUGUACGGGUAGAUGAGUCACAUGUUAGUGAGGUUGAGAGAACUACAUUUACAUUCCUUUACAUUCCCCUCUUCCCACUCCCCUUUCUACUGCUUUGGCUCCUGUCCCACUAUGACAUUGUAACUACAGGAGCAUUAUACCGGAAAACAAAAACAAAAACAAAAAACACAAAACCCAGCUAUGGUGUGGAAGGAUGUGGGGUGAGCUGCCUGAGCAGCUGUGGUUUUUAUUUGUGAAGCCAUUGGCCUGGUCUCUUGGUGUGUUGGUACAGUUCCACACAUGUCCUGCCCAACACUCUGUGCUCUAAGUAGGCAUCCUUGCAGACAUAUUUAUUGUGCAUACCCCCUCAUGUUCAACUACCCCUGUGUCAUAAAGCUGCAGAAUCUGAGGGUUUUGUCAUAACUAUAGGCAGUCUAGAAGAUCAAGCCACAUUGGUGUUAGCAGCAUUAGGGCUGCUGAUCCGUUCUGCAGAGAGGCAUAUUUAUGAAAAUGGAUGAAGAAAAACUAUGGAAGGCUGCCUACUUAAGCUCAAGAAGCAUUUUGUGAGAUUUCUGAAGCUAACAGCUGUGGUCUGCUUCCUAGUCUGGCAUAGUAGGUUGACUUAUGAAAGUGAGGCAGAAGAAGAUGAGAUUCAGACACAGAGAGAAAGACACAAGAGAAGACCCUGUGAAGAUGAAGGCAGAGAUUGGAGUGAUGCAGCUGUAAGCCAAAGGUAACCAAAGGUUUCCAGAUCAUCAGUCACCAUCAGAGGCCAGAUGAGGAAACAAUCUCCCCCAAGCCUGGAGAAAGAGUGUGGUCAUACCAAAACUGUGAUUUGGGAUUUUAGGUUUUGGAUCCUCUGCAGAACUGUGUGAGAAUCAAUUUCUGCUAACUCACCGUUCUCUGCCAUGGGUGCUCACCAUUACCAAAGGGGAAAUUUGCUCACCAGUAGUGGGUUAGACAGCACUUUCUUCCCCACUUCCUACCUGUGUCCUUGUGCAUCUCGUAGUACAACUCUUUCAGUUUUUCCCCAUUGUAACAUGGGAUGAAUAGGUGGCACGCCACAGACUCGUGAGAUUCAUGAUUGCUGAGCAGAACACCGUGGGGACCACAGACAAGACCUGUGUCUGAGUUCCUGUCCUCUCUCCUCACUUCUCAGUCCAGCUCCACUUUAGGCAUUGCACUCCCGUUGCAAGGUUGAGGACCAUGUUUUCUAUAUCUUCUCCAGGUCUCCAGCUUGCCAGUGAUGCCCAGAAUAGCACACGCCCCUGCCUUCCUAUCCAUAUGGACAUCACAUACAUCAAUGUCUCAAAAUGUAUCUAAAAUUAAAACUUUUUUUCUUCUGAAA